rnacentral:rRNA from 1 species
UACGGAGGAUGCAAGCGUUAUCCGGAAUGAUUGGGCGUAAAGCGUCCGCAGGUGGCUGUGUAAGUCUGCUGUCAAAGAGCAAAGCUCAACUUUGUAAAGGCAGUGGAAACUACACGGCUAGAGUGCGUUCGGGGCAGAGGGAAUUCCUGGUGUAGCGGUGAAAUGCGCAGAUAUCAGGAGGAACACCUGCGGCGAAGGCGGGUUGCUGGGCUGACACUGACGCUGACAGCGCGAAAGCUAGGGGAGCGAACGGG